UACGUAGGUGGCAAGCGUUGUCCGGAUUUAUUGGGUUUAAAGGGUGCGUAGGCGGCUUAUUAAGUCAGUGGUGAAAUACUCUAGCUCAACUAGAGGGGUGCCAUUGAUACUGAUGAGCUUGAGUACAGAUGAGGUAGGCGGAAUUGACGGUGUAGCGGUGAAAUGCUUAGAUAUCGUCAAGAACACCUAUAGCGAAGGCAGCUUUCUAGGCUGUAACUGACGCUGAGGCACGAAAGUGUGGGGAUCAAACAGG
rnacentral:rRNA from 1 species